UACGUAGGGAGCGAGCGUUAUCCGGAAUUAUUGGGUGUAAAGCGUGUGUAGGCGGUAAAUUAAGUCUAAGGUAUAAGCCCGGAGCUUAACUCCGGUUCGCCUUAGAAACUGAUUUUCUUGAGUGUGGUAGAGGCAAGCGGAAUUUCUAGUGUAGCGGUAAAAUGCGUAGAUAUUAGAAGGAACACCAGUGGCGAAGGCGGCUUGCUGGGCCAAAACUGACGCUGAGACACGAAAGCGUGGGGAGCAAAUAGG
rnacentral:rRNA from 1 species